rnacentral:rRNA from 1 species
UGAGGAAUAUUGGUCAAUGGACGCAAGUCUGAACCAGCCAAGUAGCGUGCAGGAUGACGGCCCUAUGGGUUGUAAACUGCUUUUAUAUGGGGAUAAAGUGGGGAACGUGUUCCCUUUUGCAGGUACCAUAUGAAUAAGGACCGGCUAAUUCCGUGCCAGCAGCCGCGGUAAUACGGAAGGUUCGGGCGUUAUCCGGAUUUAUUGGGCGUAAAGCGAGCGCAGGCGGUUAGAAAAGUCUGAAGUGAAAGGCAGUGGCUCAACCAUUGUAGGCUUUGGAAACUGUUUAACUUGAGUGCAGAAGGGGAGAGUGGAAUUCCAUGUGUAGCGAUGAAAUGCGUAGAUAUAUGGAGGAACACCGGUGGCGAAAGCGGCUCUCUGGUCUGUAACUGACGCUGAGGCUCGAAAGCGUGGGGAGCGAACAGG